GACGAACGCUGGCGGCGUGCUUAACACAUGCAAGUCGAACGGAAAGGCCUGCUUUCCCUUGUGGAUUGCGGGUACUCGAGUGGCGAACGGGUGAGUAACACGUGAGUGAUCUGCCCCCAACUUGGGUAUAAGCCUGGGAAACUGGGUCUAAUUCCCGAUAGGACUGCAGGGUGGUGCCUGUGGUGGAAAACGAUUUUCUAGUGGUUGGGGAUGAGCUCGCGGCCUAUCAGCUUGUUGGUGGGGUAAUGGCCUACCAAGGCGGCGAAGGGUAGCCGGCCUGAGAGGGUGGACGGCCACAUUGGGACUGGGAUACGGCCCAGACUCCUACGGGAGGCAGCAGUGGGGAAUAGUGCACAAUGGGCGGAAGCCUGAUGCAGCGACGCCGCGUGGGGGAUGACGGCCUUCGGGUUGUAAACUCCUUUCGACCGCGAGGAAGCCACCUGGUUGGAAGGGUGGUGACGGUAGUGGUAGAAGAAGCACCGGCUAACUACGUG
rnacentral:rRNA from 1 species